ensembl:lncRNA
CUAUUGACUUUUAAACAUGAAAUAUUUAUUAAUAUUUACUAAACAGUAAGGCAGAAGCAAUAAGAAUCAUAACAUUUACUCGAUAUAAGGUAACAUAGGAAUAAUCAAAGCAUCACAGUCCAUUAUAAACACAGAGUGUCUUGUGGGAGGGAGAUAGUGGCCAUACAUUAAUAGAAAUCUAUUAGGCAGGUAUAAGUGAGGAACAUCUAUUUGGAAUAUCUUACAAUUUUAACUGCAAAUCUUGGUGUCCUUGGUUCAUUUAGUAACAAUCUAUACCACAUAAGGCUGAAUUUUAUAUUGACAGCUGUCCUUAUGGGUCUCAUUUCCUUCUUAUAGGAAAUCACUUUCUUCUGUUUUCUAGUAAAGAAGUAAUAGUUUUUCUUUCACCCUUAACAAUACACUGAGAAACUUUUUUCUUUAAAACAAUUUCAUGUAUGUAUGUGUUCAGUCUCUCAUCUACCACCCACCCAUCCACCUUUCCAUCUAUAUUUCUAUCUAUCUUCAUCUUUCCAUCUCUAUCUAACCAGUAUUUUGCUGGAUAGAUUUUAUUUUAAAUAGAAUAGAUCUAUUUAGCUAUCAGUCCAUAAAUCUAUGCAUUCAUAUUUCUAGCAUCUAUCUCAGUUUUCUAUCUAGCAUCUAUAAUCUAUCAUCUACCUAUCCAUCCACAUUUGUAUUUAUUAUCUACAUAUCUUCACCUCUUCCAUUAUACAUCUCCAGUUUUCCAUAUUCACCUAUCUAGAAUCUAUCUAUACAUCUGACUUACAGUCCAUAUAUCUAUCAUGUAUCUAUCAUCUACCCAUGUAUUUCUAUAUCUAUCUUUCUACUUACCUAUUUAUCUAUCUACCCAUCCAUCCAUCUAUCUAUUCAUCCAAACAUUCUCCUUAUUCAUUACAAGCAGGUUUCCUCAGUUUGGCUCUCUGGGAAAUGCAGAGCAGAUGACUUAGCUUAUGCUUUUUUUUUUUUUUUUUUUUUGAGACAUCUUUAAGCUAAACCAAGCCCAUCCUCUGGUAAUAAGAUCACAGCAAUGUAGAGGCAAAGCUUAUCUUACCCUGUCUAUUCAUUCUCCUACCCCCACUCCCACCCCAACCUUGCUCCCAAACUAUGGUGGCAAUAGGAGGUCAACCAGGCACUUUUUUGAGAAUUUCCCUUUCUCUCAGGCUGUAGAUGGCACUAGAUAGCCUAUUUUGUAUAAAAUCUAGAAACUAUAGAGCUUUCUUAGCUGAUCAAACCUUUCUUCAGCCAAUCAUUGUAAAGUGAUGACUUCCCCUAUCCCAAUCAGCAAGUUCCUAGCAAGAGAAAACAUUCUUUCCUAGCCUUGUGUAUAUUUUGUCAGUAGCUUCUUACAACCCCUCUGUUAAGCUUAUUCUAUUAAUUAUCUUGCUUUUCUUUUAAUUUUUGCCUCAUAUCUUUUAAUGUAUUAAAUCAGAGUUCUCUGGUGGUUAAUGAUUUAUAUUUGCCACAUAAGGUAAAGCUCAAGAAAUUUAACUUUUGGUUACUGAAGAACCCCAAAAUCUUUAUACAAUCUCUGUUAUUUGAUAGUUUCAAAAUUGUAAACUAUAAAAUUCUAAAAAACAACAAAAACAGAAACAUGCAGAUGAUUUCAUGAGCCAUAAUGCCCUACAACUGUUGAUCUCCUCGAUUGAAUUUCAAACAGGUCCUUUCAGUACAUUUUUUCUGAGGGAAAAUUCUCUAUCAGGUCUUCAGAGGUCCAUUUCUCUUCCAUUUUUUAGGAAAUAUUUUUCUUCAAUACUAUUUCUUCACAUUUUGAGUUUUAAAAGUUUUACUUAUAUAAAUGUUAUUUUAUUGUCCCCUUUCAGCAACCUAAUGGUUCACAUAAAGACAAUAUCUUGAAAUCAUAGGAUUGUAAACUUAGUUAGGUGGUAUGGUGAAUGGAGAAUGUGCCCUGGACCUUAUAAAAGUCUGAGUUAAAACCUAUCUUCAGAUACUUACUCGCUAGGAGACCUUGAACAAGUCACAUUACCUCUCUUUACACCCAUAAAAUGGGGAUAACAACACCUUCCUCUCCGGAUGGUAAAACUGAGUUAUUUGUCAAGUGCUUUGAAAAUUGUAAACACUAUAAAUUCUAGUUAUUAUUAUUAUUACCGGAAGGAACCCUAGAGGUCCACUAGUGAAAUCUUCUCAUUUUAAACAUAAGGAAACAAAUCCAAGGUAAAAUUGGUUCUCUUUGGGGUAUGUGAUUAAAGGAUAGAGAAAUAGUUAAGAGAUGUGAGGGUCAAAAUGGUAAAAUAGCCUUUAUGAGAGGAUUGAUAAAAAGAGGUGUCCCUCUGCUACCUACUACCAGUAUAAAAGUCACAACCACUUUGCUACUCAUUUUCCUUAUUUGUUAAGUGAGGUUGAACUAGAUAUUCUCCGAUUGUAAUUAUUUGUUAAUAUGAAGACUCAUUUCCCUGACCUGCUAUGGGAAAAAUGCUUUGCAAAGUUUUAAUUGCUAUAUUAUAGUUGUCAGUGAUAGUUGAUGCUGCUGUUCUACUACUAUUACUACUUUACUAUUAGUUAUUUCUACUCCUACUUUUACUAUUUCUAUUCCUAUUAUUACUACUAUUAUUAGUACUUCCCUUACUGCUAUUCCUACUACUAUUGCUACAAUUAUUACUAUUACUACCACUACCAUCACUACUACUGCUACUACUACUAAUUAUAGGUUCCCUAUUACUUUAGAAUUCCCCAGGUUCAGUGAAGGAUGCUUUGGGACCCAGUCACAGUUAUGCAAAUAUAGAUCAACUCCACAUGCAAUUAAUUCUCUACUAACAGACCAGAAAAGCUUUUGAUUGGGGUAGAAUAGAGAGGUAAAUGACGUAAGAAAGCUCCUUCAUCCACAAACUUCCACAGAUUCACAUGUUGCCUUCUGAGGAGUCUUUCCUAGAAAAUCUAUCUUACUAUGGUAACAUAAUAGCAUCAUGUUCCCGAUUGAUCGGAUGUCUUCUCGAGACUUCAUCUCCCCACACGACGGACCUUACUGCCGCUGCUCCAUCUGAGUCUGCAGUUUCCCCUACCUCUAAAGCUCUUCUGAAAAGCUACUGUUGUUGUUUCCUGGAGUUGCGAUCUACAUGUUAAUUUCCAUUAAGUACUUGUCAUUUUAGAGGUCGCUUGUUGGGUUUCUCCUUCAAAGGGAGUGCUGUUGCUCUUUUUUUCCCCUCCAUCACCAGCAUCCCCUUUAAUAAAACAGACAAACUAGCGGGUGACAGGGAGGGGAAAGGGGAUGGGAAUAUCGCCAUUUACAACCACAAAAAACCAAUUUGCACGUGGCUAACACCUGUUAGCGGGGGAGCGGGGAGGGAGGGGCAGGGCUGCCCCAGCGCCGGUGGGCAGCAGCGGCGGAGCCCAGGACCCCGCCGCAUCUAUUUGUAAAGGAUGUCGUAGUGUCCGGGUCUGUACAGAAGGUACACCUUGGUCUCGGAGCCCUCAGAGAAGACGUGGGUGUUGGUGGUGCCGCCCUCACCGCGGUCCAUGUACUCCACCUGGAUGGAGAUGCUGAGGGCCUGCGCCAGCGCCAUGAUGUGGAUGUGGUCACUCUCCUUGCACAUGGGCUCCACCUCCUGCUGACAAAACUCCUUGACCGUCUGUCCCCCCUCGAUGAAAUGCUCGAAGAACUUGCUCUCACGCUGCAGGUGGCCUGAGGUGAGCAGCCGCAGGUAAACCACCAGGUAGUCGGAGGUGCUCUGGUCAUUGAAGGAGGCCAGCAGUUCCGUUGCUGAGGUUCCCCUCUCCACCUGUUCGAUCAGGUCCAUGAAUGUGUUGUGGAAAUCUUCAAUUGUGAACUCGGCGAAGCCCUGGGCCACCAGGUCGUCCUUGCUCUUGGCGGAGACGGCUUUGAGCCUCUGCAGCUCCUUCUUGUCCUCCAGAAGGGCCUCCAGGUGGGAGAAGCCGAAAGCCCGGUAGAAGCAGUUGCCAUCGGGCCUGGUCUUUCGGAUGUAGGAGUACUUUUUGUGUAGGUCCUUGAUCUUCUGUUGGUAGAUGUUGUCAUCUUCGGCGUACUCCUUGUAAAGCACGGAGAGCUCCAGGCGCUCGGACACCAGGGGAUUUUGAACAGCAAUCUCUUGCUGAAUUCGGUCCUGCUGGGCCAUGAUGGCUUCAUCGUAGGCCAAACUGUUAAUUCCUUCAGAGUCACUUUCCAAUGGCUCCGGAUUCUGCUGAUGAGGUUCCUCCGCCGCCAUCUUUAAACAGCAUAUGGACUGCCUCGCCAACGAGCGUGCAACUGCGCAAUCAGCUCUGGUGUCAGUUCCAUAGUCACGGCGGGGGUGGCCCACAAAAAGCUCUUUUUCCCAACCUACUCACUAGCUUCCCAGAACAAAGUUUCAGAUACAGACAGUGAUCUCCAGUGCUCUUUGAUCCAGGGUAACUUGAAGCCAGCAUAGCAGGUAGAAGGGGAUUGCCAGCCAGCCCGACAGGACAACCCCCAAAGUCAAAGUAUCCAGGAUCCAAAUCCAAGGAGGGAUUGGAAGUGAGAACAACCUGAAACAGAAGACAAAUACCUCAGCACAUUUCACCAAGUGAGGGUAAAAAAGACGGAGACCACUAGAAAGUUGUCAAAGAUCAGCGACAAGACAAGUCAAGGUGGCUGGUGAUGACCUAGGAUUUGGUGGAUGACCUUGGUGUUUUUGACCAAGCUCUCAGUGCCCUACAAUAACUCCGAGGUGUUCAGAGGGACUAGCAGCUCUGGUGUGAGGGCGUGUUGAGUCCUUUUGGGGCUGGUCGUCCACCUUUGAGGUUUGCCUGUUACCUAACGGUCCUUGGACUCCAAGAAGUUUUACUAUGGCCAGUGGCCAGUGGCCAGCCCUUGGUACAACCAGGUGGAGGCUACCACAAGCCUCAGACCCACUGGUGAGUUAUGGGAACAUCUAUCCUACGUGAAGAUGCCUUCUGGAGAGCAGGCAAAUGAGAACCACUUGUUUUAGCAGCCGUGAAUAAUAGCAAUAUACUUACAACCUCAAUGAAUUAACAAUAUCCUCAGCAGCACCCAAUGCCUGACUGCCAUUCUCUGCAGGCCUGCUCCUCCUGGGCCCUUCUGGAACCAAUUUUUCUGUGUGUCCACCAUGAAAAGCCCCCAACACACUGAAGUUAUUCUUCUAAAUUGCUCCUAUCAGUGAAAUGAUCAUCAAAUGUUUGAGAAUAUUAACUCUGCUUAAACUUCACCAGAUCUCUCUUACCUCUAGACUCUCAAAGGGAUCUUAGGGAUCAUCUUGGCCCCAUCCCUUGUUGUAUAGAUUUGGAAUCUGGGGCCACAAGAGCUUAAGUGACUUGUGAGAAUCACAAACACGGUAAGUGAAUGAGUACCAGAGGAGGGAACUGAGCCCAGGUCUUCUCAUUUUAAAUUCAGCCUAAAUUUCCACCCUACCUGGUCAAACAUAUACUCAUGUUUUUCCCUUUUGGACUCUGUUCAUAUUAUUUAUGUACAUACAAUAUAUGGACCUUGAUAUUUAUAUGUUUUCUCUCCAUUAAAAUAAAUUCUUCUGGGAAGCAGAGAUUGUCUUGUUUUUGUUGGUUUUUCUUUGGAUCCCC